CCAUUUUCUGCAGGUCAAAGAAAAUGGCAUGAAUGCAUCCCUCUUCACAAAUUUUCCUUCCGAGUCAAGAAAAUGCUCAGGGUAGAAUUCAU